rnacentral:rRNA from 1 species
GAUGAACGCUAGCGGCAGGCUUAAUACAUGCAAGUCGAGGGGCAGCGCAGUGUAGCAAUACAUGGGCGGCGACCGGCAAACGGGUGCGGAACACGUACGCAACCUUCCUUUAAGUGGGGGAUAGCCCAGGGAAACUUGGAUUAAUACCCCGUAAUAUUAUGAAGUGGCAUCAUUUUAUACUUAUAGCUCCGGCGCUUAAAGAGGGGCGUGCGACUGAUUAGGUAGUUGGCGGGGUAACGGCCCACCAAGCCUGCGAUCAGUAACUGGUGUGAGCGCACGACCAGUCACACGGGCACUGAGACACGGGCCCGACUCCUACGGGAGGCAGCAGUAAGGAAUAUUGGUCAAUGGACGCAAGUCUGAACCAGCCAUGCCGCGUGGAGGAUGAAGGUCCUCUGGAUUGUAAACUUCUUUUAUUUGGGAAGAAACCCACUGUUUCUACGGUGGUUGACGGUACCAGAUGAAUAAGCACCGGCUAACUCCGUGCCAGCAGCCGCCGUAA